UACGUAGGGGGCAAGCGUUGUCCGGAUUUAUUGGGCGUAAAGAGCGUGUAGGCGGCUUUACAGGUCCGUUGUGAAAACUCGAGGCUCAACCUGGAGACGCCACCUGAUACUGCUGUGGCUAGAGUCCGGUAGGGGAGCGUGGAAUUCCUGGUGUAGCGGUGAAAUGCGCAGAUAUCAGGAGGAACACCAGCGGCGAAGGCGGCGCUCUGGGCCGGAACUGACGCUGAGGAGCGAAAGCGUGGGUAGCAAACAGG
rnacentral:rRNA from 1 species